rnacentral:rRNA from 1 species
UACGUAGGGUGCAAGCGUUAAUCGGAAUUACUGGGCGUAAAGCGUGCGCAGGCGGUUCUAUAAGACAGAUGUGAAAUCCCCGGGCUCAACCUGGGAACUGCAUUUGUGACUGGCAGGCUUUGAGUGUGGCAGAGGGAGGUAGAAUUCCACGUGUAGCAGUGAAAUGCGUAGAGAUGUGGAGGAAUACCGAUGGCGAAGGCAGCCUCCUGGGCCAACACUGACGCUCAUGCACGAAAGCGUGGGGAGCAAACAGG